AACGAACGCUGGCGGCAUGCCUAACACAUGCAAGCCGAACGAAGCCUUCGGGCUUAGUGGCGCACGGGUGCGUAACGCGUGGGAAUCUGCCCUUGGGUUCGGAAUAACAGUUAGAAAUGACUGCUAAUACCGGAUGAUGUCUUCGGACCAAAGAUUUAUCGCCCAAGGAUGAGCCCGCGUAGGGUUAGGUAGUUGGUGGGGUAAUGGCCCACCAAGCCGACGAUCCUUAGCUGGUCUGAGAGGAUGAUCAGCCACACUGGGACUGAGACACGGCCCAGACUCCUACGGGAGGCAGCAGUGGGAAUAUUGGACAAUGGGCGAAAGCCUGAUCCAGCAAUGCCGCGUGAGUGAUGAAGGCCUUAGGGUUGUAAAGCUCUUUACCAGGGAUGAUAAUGACAGUACCUGGAGAAUAAGCUCCGGCUAACUCCGUGCCAGCAGCCGCGGUAAU
rnacentral:rRNA from 1 species